rnacentral:rRNA from 1 species
UGGAGAACGCUGGCGGCGUGCCUCAAACAUGCAAGUCGAGCGAGGCUAUGAAUUACCGCAAGGUAAGGCAUAGCCUAGCGGCGAACGGGUGAGUAACACGUGGGUAACCUACCUGGAAGACAGGGAUAACGAUUCGAAAGGGUCGCUAAUACCUGAUAAUAUCCAUCUGCCGGAUGGCGGAGGGAAGAAAGGGGAAACCCGCUUUCAGAUGGGCCCGCGUCCCAUCAGCUAGUUGGUAAGGUAAAGGCUUACCAAGGCGACGACGGGUAGCCGGUCUGAGAGGAUGUACGGCCACACUGGGACUGAGAUACGGCCCAGACUCCUACGGGAGGCAGCAGUUGGGAAUCUUAGGCAAUGGACGAAAGUCUGACCUAGCGACGCCGCGUGAGGGAAGAAGGCCUUCGGGUUGUAAACCUCUGUCAUGGGGGAAGAAGGAAGUGACGGUACCCCAAGAGGAAGCCCCUGCUAACUACGUG